rnacentral:ribozyme from 13 species
AGAGAAAGAGAAAGAGAAGGAAAGAAGAAAGGAGAAGAGGAAGAAAGACUUUGGGAGCUCGAUGUUUCUCCAUCUCUUUUUCUGAUUU